rnacentral:tRNA from 1 species
GCAGUGAUGGUUCAGUGGUAGAACUCUCACCUUCCAUGCAGGAGACCCAGGUUCGAUUCCUGGCCAGUGCA